GCGAAAGCAUUCAUCAAUUACAUACUUUUUAAUCAAGAACGAAAGUCUGGGUAGCGAAGACGAUUAGAUACCGUUGUAGUCUUAACCGUAAACGAUGAUAUCUCAGGAUAUUAUUUCUAUAACUAUAAAACUAUUUGAUUAGUAGUUUACUAUUUUAAUCAAAUCAAUGUUAUAAUUGUUCAUACAUAUUAAAAAUGGUAACAUUUUUUUUAUAACUCGACAAAUAAUGCACUGUGUGGGAAACCAUAAGAUUUCUUU
rnacentral:rRNA from 1 species